rnacentral:rRNA from 1 species
AUCCUACGGGGGGCAGCAGUGGGGAAUAUUGCACAAUGGGGGAAACCCUGAUGCAGCGACGCCGCGUGAGUGAAGAAGUAUCUCGGUAUGUAAAGCUCUAUCAGCAGGAAAGAUAAUGACGGUACCUGACUAAGAAGCCCCGGCUAACUACGUGCCAGCAGCCGCGGUAAUACGUAGGGGGCAAGCGUUAUCCGGAUUUACUGGGUGUAAAGGGAGCGUAGACGGCAGCGCAAGUCUGGAGUGAAAUGCC